rnacentral:rRNA from 1 species
AACGAACGCUGGCGGCAGGCCUAACACAUGCAAGUCGAACGCCCCGCAAGGGGAGUGGCAGACGGGUGAGUAACACGUGGGAACCUUCCCUAUAGUAUGGAAUAGCCCAGGGAAACUUGGAGUAAUACCGUAUACGCCCGAAAGGGGAAAGAUUUAUCGCUAUAGGAUGGGCCCGCGUAGGAUUAGCUAGUUGGUGAGGUAAUGGCUCACCAAGGCGACGAUCCUUAGCUGGUUUGAGAGAACGACCAGCCACACUGGGACUGAGACACGGCCCAGACUCCUACGGGAGGCAGCAGUGGGGAAUAUUGGACAAUGGGCGCAAGCCUGAUCCAGCCAUGCCGCGUGAGUGAUGAAGGCCUUAGGGUUGUAAAGCUCUUUUGCCGGGGGACGAUAAUGACGGUACCCGGAGAAUAAGUCCCCGGCUAACUUCGUGCCAGCAGCCGCGGU